rnacentral:lncRNA from 12 species
CCGGAACAAACUGCACACUCACACCUGACAUGUCUCAGUGGGAAAGACGUGGUCUCAAUAAAUACCCAGCGUCUCUACCACGAAAUGCUCGCUCGGCGUUAGAAGGUGGACGUGCUCCAGCGAAAUGCUCUCCCAAGGGGCCCCAUCCGUGACCAGCUGUGGUCACUUUCCCCGUCAACAGCUGCAGAGCCCCAGCUGAGGGGCCCCAGGGCAAUGGUCCCAUUCACCCCCCCCCCCACAAGGGGACAUCUUUGAUGCAUUAACCAUUUGGAUCAUUGUCGCUGCUGCAGUUCAUUUCAGCAAAAAGCACCGAAGCCCCUACUCCAGGCCAGAUCCUGGAGGUACCGGUGUAGAGAGGGACCAGAUCAGGGACCCAAGGGCUCUGCGAGUGGGACAGGAUGACACCACGCUGCUGACUGCAGCCAUCAGCCAGCUGGGGAACCGGGAGCUGUGGUGUAUGGAAAAUUCUGGAAGGACUGUCAGCUGAGAAAAGGGAUCAGCUGCAAGAAGAGGCCUCCCCGAUGAUGCGGAGCUGCUGACCCAGCAGCAGCAUCCAAGCCCUCGGACAAAUCCUGCGACAGGAGCUCCCAGGAACACCUCUUAUCCGUCCUGCGCCCUGACGUCCCCACAGGAGCCUGCUUCUCCUCCCCCGGGAGCGGCCCGUCUGCAGGCUGGCCUCGCGUCCCCGUCCGGGAACCACUUCCUGCAUGUACAAGUGCAAACAAGAGUGCUAAUGCGCAAUUGCAAACUUUGUGGUGUGUCUUCAACCGUGUUUAGGCUCAACGGGUGA